UACGGAGGAUCCGAGCGUUAUCCGGAUUUAUUGGGUUUAAAGGGUGCGUAGGCGGUUUGAUAAGUUAGAGGCGAAAUGUCGGGGCUCAACCCCGAAACUGCCUCUAAUACUGUUGGACUAGAGAAUAGUUGCGGUAGGCGGAAUGUAUGGUGUAGCGGUGAAAUGCUUAGAGAUCAUACAGAACACCGAUUGCGAAGGCAGCUUACCAAACUAUAUCUGACGUUGAGGCAUGAAAGCGUGGGAAGCAAACAGG
rnacentral:rRNA from 1 species